UACGAAGGGGGCUAGCGUUGUUCGGAAUUACUGGGCGUAAAGCGUGCGCAGGCGGCUUCUCAAGUCAGGGGUGAAAGCCCAGAGCUCAACUCUGGAAUUGCCUUUGGGACUGAGUGGCUUGAGUACGAGAGAGGUGAGUGGAAUUCCCAGUGUAGAGGUGAAAUUCGUAGAUAUUGGGAAGAACACCGGUGGCGAAGGCGGCUCACUGGCUCGUAACUGACGCUGAGGUGCGAAAGCGUGGGGAGCAAACAGG
rnacentral:rRNA from 1 species